GACGAACGCUGGCGGCGUGCUUAACACAUGCAAGUCGAACGGAAAGGCCCCUUUGGGGGUACUCGAGUGGCGAACGGGUGAGUAACACGUGAGUAACCUGCCCUUGACUUCGGGAUAACUUCAGGAAACUGGGGCUAAUACCGGAUAGGAAUCCUUGCUGCAUGGUGGGGGUUGGAAAGCUUCGGCGGUUUUGGAUGGACUCGCGGCUUAUCAGCUUGUUGGUGGGGUAGUGGCUUACCAAGGCUUUGACGGGUAGCCGGCCUGAGAGGGCGACCGGCCACAUUGGGACUGAGAUACGGCCCAGACUCCGACGGGAGGCAGCAGUGGGGAAUAUUGCACAAUGGGCGGAAGCCUGAUGCAGCAACGCCGCGUGCGGGAGGACGGCCUUCGGGUUGUAAACCGCGUUCAGCAGGGGCGAAGCUUGUGGUGACGGUACCUGCAGAAGAAGCACCGGCUAACUACGUG
rnacentral:rRNA from 1 species